UGGGAUAUAGCCAAGCGGUAAGGCAACGGACUUUGACUCCGUUAUGCGCAGGUUCGAAUCCUGCUAUCCCAG
rnacentral:tRNA from 1 species